rnacentral:rRNA from 1 species
AUUGAACGCUGGCGGCAGGCCUAACACAUGCCAGUCGAACGGUAACAGGAAGCAGCUUGCUGCUUUGCUGACGAGUGGCGGACGGGUGAGUCAUGUCUGGGAAACUGCUCGAUGGAGGGGGAUAACUACUGGAAACGGUAGCUAAUACCGCAUAACGUCGCAAGCCCAAAGAGGGGGACCUUAGGGCCUCUUGCCAUCGGAUGUGCGCAGGUGGGAUUAGCUAGUAGGUGGGGUAACGGCUCACCUAGGCGACGAUUCCUAGCUGGUCUGAGAGGAUGACCGGCCACACUGGAACUGAGACACGGUCCAGACUCCUACGGGAGGCAGCAGUGGGGAAUAUUGCACAAUGGGCGCAAGCCUGAUGCAGCCAUGCCGCGUGUAUGAAGAAGGCCUUCGGGUUGUAAAGUACUUUCAGCGGGGAGGAAGGGAGUAAAGUUAAUACCUUUGCUCAUUGACGGUACCCGCAGAAGAAGCACCGGCUAACUCCGUG